rnacentral:rRNA from 2 species
GGAUACGAUCAUACCAGCACUAAUGCACCAGAUCCCAUCAGAUCCCAUCAGAACUCCACAGUUAAGCGUGCUUCGACGAGAGUAGUACUAAGUUGGGUGACCACUUGGGAAGUCCUCGUGUUGCACCCC